rnacentral:rRNA from 1 species
GAUGAACGCUGGCGGCGUGCCUAAUACAUGCAAGUCGAGCGAAGCGGGGACGGGUGAGUAACACGUGGAUAACCUCCUAUAAGACUGGGAUAACUUCGGUAAACCGGAGCUCUACCGGACACUUAUAGUAUGAUCUGCGCUGCGUUAGCUAGUUGGUAAGGUAACGGCUUACAAAGGCAACGAUGAAUAGCCGACCUGAGAGGGUGAUCGGCAACACUGGAACUGAGACACGGUCCAGACUCCUACGGCAGGAAGCAGUAGGGAAUCUGCCGAAAGGGGCGAAAGCCUGACGGAGCAACGCCGCGUGAGUGAUGAAGGUCUCCGGAUCGUAAAACUCUGUUAUUAGGGAAGCGGUACCGAAUCAGAAAGCCACGGCUAACUACGUGCCAGCCGCCGCGGUAAUAC